AGAUUGUGGAUAAGAGAAAGAAAAGCUCUCUCCCCACAGCAGCCAUUUUGGGGAGGAGUCCAAUAUCUCCUACUUCAGUGUCCAUCAUCAUGAGGCAAUAUAGCUUCUGAGAAGGAAUUGUGGAAAUUGAAGUUCACGACUCUUACAUAGGCACCAGAUUGAAAAUCAGUGCCCUGUGUAAUUAACCCUAGGAUGAAUGGUUCUUUCCAAGUCUUCAGACAGCAUCCAGAAGUGAGUUUCUCCCUAAUUGUUCUUGCAGCAAAAUCCAGAUGUGGAGCUUCAUCUGGGAUGUUUUGCAAAUGUUACCAAGAUUCUGGAAGAUGUACAUGAGGAGAAGCUGGUGUGAACAGUCUCUUAAAGUUUUAUCUGGAAGCUUAGUGUUGCUUAUGUUGGGAUCAUAAUGAUAUUAUCGAAGUUGCAUCCAUGUUAUUCUUUCUGUUCUCCAUGUGCUGGAUAUUAAGGAUUAAAUGUCAGCUUCCAUUA